rnacentral:rRNA from 1 species
UACGGGGGGGGCAAGCGUUGUUCGGAAUUACUGGGCGUAAAGGGCUCGUAGGUGGCCAACUAAGUCAUACGUGAAAUCCCCGGGCUCAACCUGGGAACUGCAUUUGUGACUGCACAGCUGGAGUGCGGCAGAGGGGGAUGGAAUUCCGCGUGUAGCAGUGAAAUGCGUAGAUAUGCGGAGGAACACCGAUGGCGAAGGCAAUCCCCUGGGCCUGCACUGACGCUCAUGCACGAAAGCGUGGGGAGCAAACAGG